GUUUUUAAUUGGAAUCUUGCAUGAAUGGUUGGACAAGAGAAAGACUCUCUUUAUAUUAAAUUUUGAAUUUAACUUUUAAGUGAAAAGGCUUAAAUAUUCUAAAGGGACGAUAAGACCCUAUAAAACUUUACAUUGUGAUUAAUUUUAGUUGAAUUUGUAAAAUAAGAAUUUUAUUUGGUUAUUUGUUAUGUUGGGGAGACAUAAGUAAAAUAAUAUUUUAACUGCUUAAUAAUUAUACAAUUAUUAGUGAGUAAUAGAAGAUCCUUUUUAAAGAUUAACAGAUUAAGUUACUUUAGGGAUAACAGUGUAAUUUCUUUUGAGAGUUCUUAUCGAAAAAGGAGGUUGCGACCUCGAUGUUGAAUUAAAAUAUCUAUAUAAUGGAGAGAUUAUAUAAGAAGGUCUGUUCGACCUUGAAAUUUUUACAUGAUUUGAGUUCAGACCGGCGUGAG
rnacentral:rRNA from 1 species